UUUAUCUAAAAGAUCUGCUCUACUUCAAACAGGACUUAAUUCAGGGAAGUCCUACGGCCUGUGUUACACAGGGGGUCAGACUAGAUGAUCACAAUGGUCCCCUUUGGCCUUGGAAUCUAUGGACCUAUGAAUCAGAGCUGGUCCACAGCACUCAGUGUGUGCUAUUGCCACCAUGUCUUGUGGUGAUGGGAACCUCUGGAUGGGUGGUGUAAAGACAUUGCCCCGACUGACAGCUUUACAGCUAUCCUCAGUAGCAGGUGAGGUGCACAGUCUCACAGGAGGAAAGGAACAGUCGGGUAUGUACACAGGGUGAAAUUUGCAUUCUGCUGCUACUGAAGUCAAUGGUAAAACUCACUGUUGACUUUGAUGGCACCAGAGUUAGACCAACAGUGAGCACUUUGGAAAAUCCCAUCCAUAUUUCUCAUUUUAUGAUCACAUCUUGCAACAGACCCUGGUGGGAUUUACCUGACUCUUACAGAUCGCCCUCAGUGCCCACGCUGGCAUCAGGUUGCUCUAGAUCUGGAUGGGCUGGAAACAUUGUCCUUCUGGGAGCUGUGGUUAUAUUGAGGAUAUAAGGUGCUUCAUCCUUGCUACCUGUUAUCACACCUGAGAGCUCAGUCUCCAAUCAGACUGCGCUCCCGCCUCCAUCCAGUUGCCAAAUCCAGCACAGGAGUUCACUCACAUUAAGUAGCACUUUGUCUCGCGCAACCAGCCAAUGCUGAUGUAUGUGGUUGACAAAGGCAAUGGGACUAACUGAAAGUGGGGGGAGAGUGCCUGCCAGCUAAAGGAGAAGUAUCAGCAAAGGCCAGACAUCUCCUUGCAUAACGUUUUCCUGAUGAGCCAGGAAGUGCAGUCCGAGGAUGCUGGAACAUACCAGACAACAGUGCAAGCUAAUGAUAUGCCAAAGGUCACUGCAGAAGUCACCCUCCUAGUGGCUGAGUGUAACCGAAGGGCUACUCCACCCAAUGCAAGCAAAGGAGACGCCAGAUAAAACUUCACCAUCAGCCAGGGCUGCAACUUUUGGUUCCUCCAUUCUGGUAGCCAUCCUCCAGGAGUCACCAACACAGGGUAUGGCAGUGGAAGGCAAAGGACCAUCUUUAAUGCAC